UCGGAAUUACUGGGCGUAAAGGGUGCGUAGGUGGGCGUUUAAGUCCGUUGUGAAAUCCCUGGGCUCAACCUGGGAAUGGCAGUGGAUACUGGACGGCUAGAAUGCGGUAGAGGGUAGUGGAAUUCCCGGUGUAGCAGUGAAAUGCGUAGAUAUCAAGUGGAACACCAGUGGCGAAGGCGAGUCUCUGGACAUUUCCUGACGCUGAGGCACGAAAGCCAGGGGAGCAAACGGG
rnacentral:rRNA from 1 species